CCGGCACGGGUGAGUAACACGUAUGCAAUCCACCUGUAACAGGGGGAUAACCCGGAGAAAUCCGGACUAAUACCCCAUAAUAUGGGCGCUCCGCAUGGAGGGUCCAUUAAAGAGAGCAAUCUUGGUUACAGACGAGCAUGCGCUCCAUUAGCCAGUUGGCGGGGUAACGGCCCACCAAGGCGACGAUGGAUAGGGGUUCUGAGAGGAAGGUCCCCCACAUUGGAACUGAGACACGGUCCAA
rnacentral:rRNA from 1 species